rnacentral:rRNA from 1 species
UGUCGGCGACCGGCGCACGGGUGCGUAACGCGUAUGCAACCUACCCAUUACAGGGGGAUAACACUGAGAAAUCGGUACUAAUACCCCAUAACAUCCAGGGAGGCAUCCUCUUGGGUUGAAAACUCCGGUGGUAAUGGAUGGGCAUGCGUUGUAUUAGUUAGUUGGUGGGGUAACGGCUCACCAAGACAACGAUACAUAGGGGGACUGAGAGGUUAACCCCCCACAUUGGUACUGAGACACGGACCAAACUCCUACGGGAGGCAGCAG